rnacentral:rRNA from 1 species
CAGCAGCCGCGGUAUACGAAGGGGGCUAGCGUUGCUCGGAAUCACUGGGCGUAAAGGGUGCGUAGGCGGGUCUUUAAGUCAGGGGUGAAAUCCUGGAGCUCAACUCCAGAACUGCCUUUGAUACUGAAGAUCUUGAGUUCGGGAGAGGUGAGUGGAACUGCGAGUGUAGAGGUGAAAUUCGUAGAUAUUCGCAAGAACACCAGUGGCGAAGGCGGCUCACUGGCCCGAUACUGACGCUGAGGCACGAAAGCGUGGGGAGCAAACGGGAUUAGAUACCCGAGUAGUCCCUGUCUCUUAUACA